CCUACGGGAGGCAGCAGUGGGGGAUAUUGCACAAUGGGGGGAACCCUGAUGCAGCGACGCCGCGUGGGUGAAGGAGUGCUUCGGCAUGUAAAGCCCUAUCGGCAGGGAAGAAGCAAGACGGUACCUGACUAAGAAGCCCCGGCUAACUACGUGCCAGCAGCCGCGGUAAUACGUAGGGGGCGAGCGUUAUCCGGAUGCACUGGGUGUAAAGGGAGCGGAGACGGCCAGGCAAGCCAGGGGUGAAAGCCCGGGGCCCAACCCCGGGACUGCCCUUGGAACGGCAUGGCUGGAGUGCGGGCGGGGCAGGCGGCAUUCCUGGUGUAGCGGUGAAAUGCG
rnacentral:rRNA from 1 species